rnacentral:rRNA from 1 species
UCUGCCUACGGGGCGCAGCAGUGGGGAAUAUUGCACAAUGGGGGAAACCCUGAUGCAGCGACGCCGCGUGAGUGAAGAAGUAAUUCGUUAUGUAAAGCUCUAUCAGCAGGGAAGAAAAUGACGGAACCUGAGUAAGAAGCCCCGGCUAACUACGUGCCAGCAGCCGCGGUAAUACGUAGGGGGCAAGCGUUAUCCGGAUUUACUGGGUGUAAAGGGAGCGUAGACGGCAGUGCAAGUAUGGAGUGAAAGGCGGGGGCUCAACUCCCGGACUGCUCUGGAAACUGUAAGGCUGGCGUGC